rnacentral:rRNA from 1 species
ACCCCACUAUGCUUAGCCCUAAACAUAAAUAUUCAACUAACAAGAAUAUUCGCCAGAGAACUACUAGCCACUGCUUAAAACUCAAAGGACUUGGCGGUGCUUUAUACCCCUCUAGAGGAGCCUGUUCUAUAAUCGAUAAACCCCGUUAAACCUGACCACUCUUUGCAAUAUCAGCCUAUAUACCGCCAUCUUCAGCAAACCCUAACAAGGCACUAUAGUAAGCACAAUAAUUUUACAUAAAAACGUUAGGUCAAGGUGUAGCCUAUAGAGUGGGAAGAAAUGGGCUACAUUUUCUAACCCUAGAACAUCUCACGAUAGCUGUCAUGAAAUAUGACUAGCCCAAGGCGGAUUUAGUAGUAAGCUAGGAAUAGAGCGCCUGGCUGAAUUGGGCAAUAAAGCACGCACACACCGCG